rnacentral:lncRNA from 11 species
CUGGAGGUCUCCUCCUCUGAGGCGAUCACGGAAAUGGAGACCUGGCACCAAUGGAUGGCAUCUGCUCCGCAGCCCAGCUGGGAUGCGUGGAGGAAGGGCCCCAUUCCACCCGAUGAGUCCUGGGUAAGGAGAGAAAUGCAGGCGCCCUGUCUUCCUGCAAAGGGGAAGGGGAGGUCAGGAUUUCACUUUGCUCUUCUCUUUCCUUGACAGAGCACUCUGGCCAGUGGAAGUGAUGAGGACGCACUUUGGGGACAGCAGUCCCAGGAAUCGAGGGAACUUCUUCUCACUUUUUGGGUGUGGGUUGGGCCUUUUUUUGGGCUAGGGGGGUCUUUGGGUGUUAUGUACUAACAUAUUUUUUUUGUUUCUUUUAGUGAAGAACAAAGUCUAGUUAUUGAAGAUCUAGAAGACUAAGGUGAGUUGGGAAAAUAGAGGGAGGGGUGCACCUGGUGGCACAGCGGAUCAAACCACUGAGCUGCUGAACGUACCGACCAGAAGGUCAGUGGUUUGAAUCCAGGCAGUGGGGUGAGCUCCCGCUGUUAGCCCCAGCUUCUGCCAACCUAACAAUUCAAAAACAUGCAAAUGUGAGUAGAUCACUAUGUACCGCUCUGGCAGGAAGGUAACAGCGCUCCAUGGAGUCAUGCCGGCCACAUGGCCUAGUAGGUAUCUACGGACAAUGCCGGCUCUGAGGCUUAGAAAUGGAGAUGAGCUCUAACCCACAGAUUCGGACAUGACUAGACUUAAUGUCAGGGGAAACCUUUAUCUUUAACUCUCCCUUUUCAGAUCCAUCCUCUUCCUGGGACUGCUGUCUCCAUCGUGUGUCCACCUCCUCCCCUGGUCAGGGUGCCCAGUGAUGAAGAAUCCAUCUCGAAUGAGGCCCUUCCUCCUUCCUACUGAUCUUGUUCUCCGUUCUCCUUUGCAGAACAUCAGGAAAUUAUGUAUAAAUUGUUGGAAAUGUUGUCGGGGAGGAGGUGUAUCAAAAUAUACCCCGUAAGGUAAGCCCUUCCUCCUUCUCUUCUGGAUGGUUUUUUCCCCUUCUAAAUAGCUUCACAGGGUUCUGAUACUAAUGUUCGGCUGAUUUCUCUCCUUCUUCUCUAGUCCUCCAACGCAAGAUCUGGAGGCCUCCUCCUCUGAGGCAAUCACGGAAAUGGAGACCUGGGUAAGGAGGGAAGGCAGGAGGAUUGUACUUCUGUGAAGAGGAGGGGACCAGGAUUUCAACUAAGUCUCUUCUCUUUCUUCCACAGCACCAAUGGAUGGCAUCUGCUGGCCGGGAUGCGAGGAGGAAGGGCCCCAUUCCACCCGAUGAGUCCUGGGUAAGUAGAGAAAUGCAGGCGCCCUGUCUUCCUGCAAAGGGGAAGGGGAGGUCAGGAUUUCACUUUGCUCUUCUCUUUCCUUGACAGAGCACUCUGGGCAGUGGAAGUGAUGAGGACGCACUUUGGGGACAGCAGUCCCAGGAAUCGAGGGAACUUCUUCUCACUUUUUGGGUGUGGGUUGGGCCUUUUUUUGGGCUAGGGGGGUCUUUGGGUGUUACGUACUAACAUAUUUUUUUUGUUUCUUUUAGUGAAGAACAAAGUCUAGUUAUUGAUGAUCUAGAAGAAUAAGGUGAGUUCAUAUUGGAAAAUAGAGAGAGGGAUGCGCCCGAUGGUGCAGCAGGUUAAAACACUGAUCGGAUGAAUUACUGACCAAAAAGUCGACGGUUCAAAUCCAGGCAGCGGGGUGAGCUCCCGCUGUUUGUCCAAGCUUAUGCCAACCUAGCAGUUCAGAAACAUGCAAAUGUGAGUAGAUCAAUGGACCUCUGGCAGGAAGGUAACAGCGCUCCAUGCAGUCAUGCCGGCCACACGACCUAGCAGCUGUCUACGGACAACCCUGGCUCUUAGGCUUAGAAAUGGAGAUGAGCAUCAGAGUCAGACACGACUAGACUUGAUGUCAGAGGAAAACCUUUAACUUUACCCACAGGUACAGGCAGAUUCGUCUUGGGCGCAGGAACGGGGACCUCCACUUCGGAGAGGAAAAGGCAUUUAGUUCCUGAAAGGCUUUCUGGCUGGAGAGUGCCUCUAUUUGCAUAUUUGUGUAUUUUAAAUUGCAUGCAAAUGCUUUUAUGUUAAGCCACUCGGAGUCUCCUUUGGGAGAGAUAAAACAGUGUAUACAUAAAUAUAAUAACUCUCCCUCUUCAGCCGCUCACACAACGUCUCCAUGACUUCUGCCUUGGACUGCUGUUUCCAUUGUGCGUCCAUACUCCUCCUUUUCCCCUAGUCAGGGUGCCCUGUGAACCAAAGGACUCUGCUUGAAUGAGGCCCUCACUCCUUCCAUCCCGGUUUGGCUGCAUGGCUGAUACCAUCCAGAAACACCUUUAGUCUGCCUUGUGAAAUAAUGAUCAAGUGCUUCACAGCUAUUGGCUCAAAGGCAGAAACAGGCAAUUGACUUGCAAAAAGUUGUAGAUUUUGGAAAAUUCCAGGUUCAGGUGUAGGGUUGCUCCUUCUGUAUUACUAAAAUGUCUAUCCAUU